CCUACGGGUGGCAGCAGUGGGGAAUAUUGGACAAUGGGGGGAACCCUGAUCCAGCCAUGCCGCGUGUGUGAAGAAGGCCCUCGGGUUGUAAAGCACUUUCAGUGAGGAAGAACGCCUGGUGGUUAAUACCCAUCAGGAAAGACAUCACUCACAGAAGAAGCACCGGCUAACUCCGUGCCAGCAGCCGCGGUAAUACGGAGGGUGCGAGCGUUAAUCGGAAUUACUGGGCGUAAAGCGCGCGUAGGUGGCUUGAUAAGCCGGUUGUGAAAGCCCCGGGCUCAACCUGGGAACGGCAUCCGGAACUGUCAAGCUAGAGUGCAGGAGAGGAAGGUAGAAUUCCCGGUGUAGCGGUGAAAUGCGUAGAGAUCGGGAGGAAUACCAGUGGCGAAGGCGGCCUUCUGGACUGACACUGACACUGAGGUGCGAAAGCAUGGGUAGCAAACAGGAUUAGAUACCCUGGUAGUC
rnacentral:rRNA from 1 species